rnacentral:rRNA from 1 species
UACCAGCACCCCGAGUGGUCGGGGCGAUUAUUGGGCCUAAAGCAUCCGUAGCCGGUACUGCAAGUCUUCCGUUAAAUCCACCUGCUCAACAGUUGGGCUGCGGAGGAUACUACAGCGCUAGGAGGCGGGAGAGGCAAGCGGUACUCAUUGGGUAGGGGUAAAAUCCACUGAUCCAUUGAAGACCACCAGUGGCGAAGGCGGCUUGCCAGAACGCGCUCGACGGUGAGGGAUGAAAGCUGGGGGAGCAAACCGG